rnacentral:lncRNA from 1 species
GCUGGGCGGGCCUCGCAGGCAGCCGCUGCUCGCCGGCCACGUGCGCAGCCUGCAGGAGCUGGAGCAGACGCGGCUGGGCACGGUGGCCCUGCUGCAGUUGAUGGAGACGCCAGAGCUGGCGGGGCAGGAGGACGCUGUACGGAUGCAGCAGCUGAAAAUGAAUUCCCAUCCGCUCUUGUAGGGUAAUUAAAACCAUGGAGGCGAUCAGCGAGGUUCUCCAGGACCUUAGGUUUGAUGCGGAAUCUGCCGAGUGAUGGCGGCUCCCCAGGGAUGCGCCGAGGGAGAUGGGAAACGGGGCGGAUGGCGCCCAGCCCAGCCCUAACUGCCAGCUGGCUGGGGUUGCGCCCCACUGCGCUGCUGACCUUCCUGCAGUUCCAGACACCUCCCACAAUAAAGAGCUCCUCCUCUGU